UACAGAGGUCCCAAGCGUUGUUCGGAUUCAUUGGGCGUAAAGCGUGCGUAGGCGGCUCAGAAAGUUGGGUGUGAAAGCCCUCGGCUCAACCGAGGAAUUGCGCUCAAAACUACUGAGCUUGAGUGAGAUAGGGGAGAGCGGAACUGAUGGUGGAGCGGUGAAAUGCGUUGAUAUCAUCAGGAACACCGGUGGCGAAGGCGGCUCUCUGGAUCUUUACUGACGCUGAGGCACGAAAGCUAGGGGAGCAAACGGG
rnacentral:rRNA from 1 species